rnacentral:rRNA from 1 species
UACGAAGGGGGCUAGCGUUGCUCGGAAUCACUGGGCGUAAAGCGCACGUAGGCGGACUCUUAAGUCGGUGGUGAAAUCCUGGAGCUCAACUCCAGAACUGCUUUCGAUACUGGGAGUCUCGAGUCCGGGAGAGGUGAGUGGAACUGCGAGUGUAGAGGUGAAAUUCGUAGAUAUUCGCAAGAACACCAGUGGCGAAGGCGGCUCACUGGCCCGGUACUGACGCUGAGGUGCGAAAGCGUGGGGAGCAAACAGG